UACGUAGGGGGCUAGCGUUGUCCGGAUUUAUUGGGCGUAAAGAGCGUGUAGGCGGCCAAGUAGGUCCGGUGUGAAAACUCGAGGCUUAACCUCGUGAUGUCAUCGGAAACCAUUUGGCUAGAGUCCGGAAGAGGAAAGUGGAAUUCCUGGUGUAGCGGUGAAAUGCUUAGAUAUCGUCAAGAACACCUAUAGCGAAGGCAGCUUACUAGGCUGUAACUGACGCUGAGGCACGAAAGUGUGGGGAUCAAACAGG
rnacentral:rRNA from 1 species